rnacentral:piRNA from 1 species
UGAUUGAUUCUUGUGUCCUUAGUGCU